rnacentral:rRNA from 1 species
UACGAAGGGGGCUAGCGUUGCUCGGAAUCACUGGGCGUAAAGGGUGCGUAGGCGGGUUUUUAAGUCAGAGGUGAAAUCCUGGAGCUCAACUCCAGAACUGCCUUUGAUACUGAGGAUCUUGAGUAUGGGAGAGGUGAGUGGAACUGCGAGUGUAGAGGUGAAAUUCGUAGAUAUUCGCAAGAACACCAGUGGCGAAGGCGGCUCACUGGCCCAUAACUGACGCUGAGGCACGAAAGCGUGGGGAGCAAACAGG